AACGCACGAGACCUGCGGACCUGCGGAGGGAUCAUUACCGAGUUUACAACUCCCAAACCCAAUGUGAACGUUACCAAACUGUUGCCUCGGCGGGAUCUCUGCCCCGGGUGCGUCGCAGCCCCGGACCAAGGCGCCCGCCGGAGGACCAACCUAAAACUCUUAUUGUAUACCCCCCUCGCGGGUUUUUUUAUAAUCUGAGCCUUCUCGGCGCCUCUCGUAGGCGUUUCGAAAAUGAAUCAA
rnacentral:misc_RNA from 1 species